rnacentral:RNase_P_RNA from 2 species
GGUUCUGUAUGGCUCCGGCGUGAACCGGAACGUGGCAGCCAUUCCUCUGGGACAGCGCUCGCACGCUGCCUCACGCAACCCACCCGGAUGACUGGCCUGGAAACCGGCCGGAGAGCCUUUCAGCCCGCCGCGUCAUCCCUAUUCGGUCUUGCUCCCGGUGGGGUUUACCGUGCCAUAUCCGUUGCCGGAGAUGCGGUGGGCUCUUACCCCACCCUUUCACCCUUACCUGUCAUGACAGGCGGUUUGCUUUCUGUGGCACUUUCCCUGAGGUCGCCCUCGCCGGACGUUAUCCGGCACCGUGUUUCCGUGGAGCCCGGACUUUCCUCACCUUACCGCCUUUCGGCAUUGGUAAAGCGCGGCUGCCCGGCCAACUGGCAGGGCUCCCAUAAACGAGAGAGC